ensembl:lncRNA
GCCAUGUGUGCUGCUCGGGUCAGGGUGUCUACGCCGUUGCCCUUUUAAGGACGCUGUGGGAAGCAGGAGAAUGACGUUUACAGGCGCGAGCCCGGAGUCGCUGCUCUCAGCGCCAGGCGGAGCGGCGAGAAACAACGCACGGUGAGUUCCACUGCUAACUUUCUCUCUUCAUCAGUCUUGCUCGUAUGUACGAGUCUGUCCCGAGACAGCGCUAUACGCUCGAACAACGACAACACUAUAAGGGGUUCGAGUGAACAGGAAUAGUCUCAAAACUCAGGAGAAUACGGUGUUAUUGGGGCGCGCGGUUGGCGCAAAGCUAGUGAGCUAAGGUAGCUAGCAGGCGCCGCUAGUCCCGUAUAAACACACCAGUGUUUGGUUAGCAAGCUAGCGCUAGUCGGGGUUAGCAAGCUAAAACUGAGACUGGCGCUUGUUCAAAUAUGGCGGUGGAGGAUGAGAUGCCGCUACACAUUUAGCUCCAACUUUCUGUGUCGUCUUCAGUGACAUAUCUUGUGUACUUGUGUAUUGUGGUCUAAAGCGUUACCGCGAGUUCACCACUGAAGGGAACUCAAACUCGCGGUAGCUACUCUGUGUCUGAGAGAGAGAGAGAGAGAGAGAGAGAUAUCGAGCCAAGUCAGCUAGCUAGUCUGCAGUCCAUAUUGAGUUCAGCGUUAGCCUGCCAGCUAACCUAGCAAAAACUUCUUUAAGCAUUUUUGUCUACAGCUAAUCAGGUUGUAAUGUUUAAAACUUGCUUUUUUUUUUAUUAUAUAUUAAUCCUUAGAUCACUUCUCAGAGACGGCCUUGCUAGUUAUCUAUUUAGCUUAGUUUUCGGUUAUAUAGACUGAGCGUGCUCGGGUUUUAGCACAGUUACAACAGGCGGUUAAUCUUAUGCCAGUUAUUUACAUAUGGCUGUAUCAUCUUGUACUGAACCAUCCAUGAGUGAUGUGCACACACAACUCUGGCUCAUAUGCACUGAAGUUUUGUAAUGAGGUAACGAGUUUCCCGAAUGCUAGCAGUGAUGCUAUGAUGGGCGUUUCUCAGUGUUUAAUUAAUCUUCUGAUUCUUCUCUUAUUAUUAUUAUUAUUAUUAUUAUUAUUAUUAUUAUUAUUAUUAUUGCCAGUCUGUUGGUGUUUAUUGAGACCUUGCGUUCUGUGUUAUUUGUUUGACCCAUCUUAUCCAUGCACACAUUGGACAAGUAAUGAAAACUUUUUUCAUUUGUAAAGGGAAGUUGGAGAAGUCACAAGUAAAACCAAGAUUUUUUAGACCUCUAAUAUGCAGCCAAACUGUUGUAUAGUGUUAUGAAUGCUUGCAAAAUUUGCAGAAGUAAAAUAAGAAGUAACUGAUUUGUACAAAUAAGACACUGGAAUGGUAGGAAUGCCCAUUUGUGGAGUGUAGUGGGUUUUUUAUUUUUUUAUUUUUUUUUAUUAUUUUUUUUUACUUUUCUGGACACAUCACCUUAUGUACAGAUGGUAAAGUUUUAACAAACAGAAACUUACACAGUUUACUUUUGUUUUUCUUUGGCCUUCUUUAACUCAAGCACAAAGCACUUUUUUUUUUGUUGUUUUAUUAAAAAAAAAUAUUCAGAAUAACAAUUCAUUACAAUUGCGAAACAAAUCUUCUGUCUGACCAUGUUAAAAUUAUUACUGAGCGUAAACAGCCUCUGACCUAUAACUACAUUUUCAGUGUUACUCAUCCAUUUAAAUAAAAACAUGUCAACAUGGUUAUUAAUACACUUUUGAGGAAGUUUCUUCUAUAUAGUUUUGUUUGAGUUAAACAAAGAGCUAAAUGUUUUUUAGGUCUUGCUUCGUGUCGCACACAUCUAGUCAUGUAUGCAAAUCUAGUCAUGGAUGGUGACUGUCAUGGUGUUAAUUAUGGUUUGGGUUUGGUUUCCUUACAGAGCUCAACCCAAAUCAUGGACUAAAUUGCCAAGCCAUUGAAGAUUCACCAGACAAACUCCUUAUUGGUAUUUAUUUUGGGUUUAAUCCAGGCUGUAGAGGUGUGUGCCGAGAGA